rnacentral:lncRNA from 1 species
GCAAGAGAAGAAUUCCACAGCGUCAAUCCCCUUGUUGAUUCAGUCUGCUUCCUUCAAUUAUUUAACAGGAAACUCUUGGACAAUCAACACAUGCAGACAAACUUCUCUUGUUCAUUUUUCCCCCGGCCCCAGAAUGGACAGAACUAAAGUAUAGGGAGCAGAGGAUUAACAAGUAGGAGACACCAUGCCGACUUUAAAAUUUCUUAUACUUUUGUGGAUAUGUGAUCAUGGUCUCAGUCAAGAACUCUCUGCCCUUGAAAAAGCAACACGAACAGAUUGUACAGUGAAGAGACCUACCUCUUCAUCCAAGACAUCAAACCAUCCUAAAAUAGUCUGUUCUNGUAACUGUGACUGUUUUUUACUGGAUAUGUGGGUUGCUUUUAAUUUUCA